rnacentral:tRNA from 1 species
GGAGCGAUGCCCGAGUGGUUAAGGGGAGAGUUUAGAAUCGGUUAAUGCUUGUCAGCUCUUGGGCUCUGCCCGCGCAAGUUCAAGUCUUGCUCGCUUCG